rnacentral:rRNA from 1 species
GCGGCGGACGGGUGAGUAACACGUGGGCAACCUGCCCUGCAGACUGGGAUAACUCCGGGAAACCGGAGCUAAUACCGGGUAAUACAUCGCACCGCAUGGUGCAAUGUUGAAAGUUGGCCUUUGGCUAACACUGCAGGAUGGGCCCGCGGCGCAUUAGCUAGUUGGUAAGGUAACGGCUUACCAAGGCGACGAUGCGUAGCCGACCUGAGAGGGUGAUCGGCCACACUGGGACUGAGACACGGCCCAGACUCCUACGGGAGGCAGCAGUAGGGAAUCUUCCGCAAUGGACGAAAGUCUGACGGAGCAACGCCGCGUGAGUGACGAAGGCCUUCGGGUCGUAAAGCUCUGUUGUUAGGGAAGAACAAGUACCGUUCGAAUAGGGCGGUACCUUGACGGUACCUAACCAGAAAGCCACGGCUAACUACGUGCCAGCAGCCGCGGUAAUACGUAGGUGGCAAGCGUUGUCCGGAAUUAUUGGGCGUAAAGCGCGCGCAGGCGGUCUUUUAAGUCUGAUGUGAAAGCCCACGGCUCAACCGUGGAGGGUCAUUGGAAACUGGAGGACUUGAGUGCAGAAGAGGAGAGUGGAAUUCCACGUGUAGCGGUGAAAUGCGUAGAUAUGUGGAGGAACACCAGUGGCGAAGGCGGCUCUCUGGUCUGUAACUGACGCUGAGGCGCGAAAGCGUGGGGAGCAAACAGGAUUAGAUACCCUGGUAGUCCACGCCGUAAACGAUGAGUGCUAGGUGUUGGGGGGGUUCCACCCUCAGUGCUGAAGUUAACACAUUAAGCACUCCGCCUGGGGAGUACGACCGCAAGGUUGAAACUCAAAGGAAUUGACGGGGGCCCGCACAAGCAGUGGAGCAUGUGGUUUAAUUCGAAGCAACGCGAAGAACCUUACCAGGUCUUGACAUCCUCUGACAAUCCUGGAGACAAGGACGUUCCCCUUCUGGGGGAAAAAAUGACAAGGGGGUGCAUGGGUUG